rnacentral:rRNA from 1 species
UACGUAGGGGGCAAGCGUUGUCCGGAUUUAUUGGGCGUAAAGAGCGUGUAGGCGGUUUGGUAGGUCCGUUGUGAAAACUCGAGGCUCAACCUCGAGACGCCGAUGGAAACCAUCAGACUAGAGUCCGGAAGAGGAGAGUGGAAUUCCUGGUGUAGCGGUGAAAUGCGCAGAUAUCGGGAGGAACACCUGUGGCGAAAGCGGCGCACUGGACCAUUACUGACGCUGAGGCACGAAAGCUAGGGGAGCAAACAGG